UCAUGAUUGUGUGGACGUUCGGAUUGUGCCGAGAGGUGAAAUAUUUAUAGCCUGAAGAUGAGCUCGCGUCUGAUUAGCUAGUUGGUGGGGUAAUGGCUUACCAAGGCGACGAUCAGUAGCUGGUCUGAGAGGACGAUCAGCCACACUGGGACUGAGACACGGCCCAGACUCCUACGGGAGGCAGCAGUGGGGAAUUUUCCGCAAUGGGCGAAAGCCUGACGGAAAAACGCCGCGUGAGGGAGGAAGGCCUGUGGGUUGU
rnacentral:rRNA from 1 species